AGUGAACGCUGGCGGCAGGCCUAACACAUGCAAGUCGAACGGAAGCACAGUAAGAGCUUGCUCUUACGGGUGGCGAGUGGCGGACGGGUGAGGAAUACAUCGGAAUCUUCUUUUUCGUGGGGGAUAACGUAGGGAAACUUACGCUAAUACCGCAUACGACCUACGGGUGAAAGCAGGGGAUCUUCGGACCUUUCGCGAUUGAAUGAGCCGAUGUCGGAUUAGCUAGUUGGCGGGGUAAAGGCCCACCAUGGCGACGAUCCGUAGCUGGUCUGAGAGGAUGGUCAGCCGCACUGGAACUGAGACACGGUCCAGACUCCUACGGGAGGCAGCAGUGGGGAAUAUUGGACAAUGGGCGCAAGCCUGAUCCAGCCAUACCGCGUGGGUGAAGAAGGCCUUCGGGUUGUAAAGCCCUUUUGUUGGGAAAGAAAAGCAGCAGGUUAAUACCCCGCUGUUCUGACGGUACCCAAAGAAUAAGCACCGGCUAACUUCGUG
rnacentral:rRNA from 1 species